rnacentral:rRNA from 1 species
GACGUAGGUGGCGAACGUUAUCCGGAAUUAUUGGGCGUAAAGGGUGCGUAGGUGGCCUGACAAGUUAUCAGUGGUAAAUCGAGGCUCAACCUCGUGGAAACUGGUAAUACUGUCCGGCUCGAGUACAGGAGAGGUUAACGGAACUCUAUGUGGAGCGGUAAAAUGCACAGAUAUAUAGAAGAAAAUCAAUAACGGCGAAGGCAGUUAACUAUUCUGUUACUGACACUGAGGCACGAAAGCGUGGGGAGCAAAACGG